AUUGAACGCUGGCGGCAGGCCUAACACAUGCAAGUCGAGCGGAUGACGGGAGCUUGCUCCUUGAUUCAGCGGCGGACGGGUGAGUAAUGCCUAGGAAUCUGCCUGGUAGUGGGGGACAACGUUUCGAAAGGAACGCUAAUACCGCAUACGUCCUACGGGAGAAAGCAGGGGACCUUCGGGCCUUGCGCUAUCAGAUGAGCCUAGGUCGGGUUAGCUAGUAGGUGAGGUAAUGGCUCACCUAGGCGACGAUCCGUAACUGGGCUGAGAGGAUGAUCAGUCACACUGGAACUGAGACACGGUCCAGACUCCUACGGGAGGCAGCAGUGGGGAAUAUUGGACAAUGGGCGAAAGCCUGAUCCAGCCAUGCCGCGUGUGUGAAGAAGGUCUUCGGAUUGUAAAGCACUUUAAGUUGGGAGGAAGGGCAGUAAGUUAAUACCUUGCUGUUUUGACGUUACCGACAGAAUAAGCACCGGCUAACUCUGUGCCAGCAGCCGCCGUAAUAC
rnacentral:rRNA from 1 species